rnacentral:rRNA from 1 species
GUAGGUGGCAAGCGUUGUCCGGAAUUAUUGGGGCGUAAAGCGCGCGCAGGCGGUUCUUUAAGUCUGAUGUGAAAGCCCACGGGCUCAACCGUGGAGGGUCAUUGGAAACUGGAGAACUUGAGUACAGAAGAGGAAAGCGGAAUUCCACGUGUAGCGGUGAAAUGCGUAGAGAUGUGGAGGAACACCAGUGGCGAUGGCGGCUUUCUGGUCUGUAACUGACGCUGAGGCGCGAAAGCGUGGGGAGCAAACAGGAUUAGAUACCCUGGUAGUCCACGCCGUAAACGAUGAGUGCUAAGUGUUAGGGGGUUUCCGCCCCUUAGUGCUGCAGCUAACGCAUUAAGCACUCCGCCUGGGGAGUACGGCCGCAAGGCUG